GUUGUUCACUGAGUAUCUGUUAGGAAAAUGUGUUUUGGACUGUAGAUGGCUACUGUAUUUCAUUUCAAAUUACAACUUUUGGUGCUUGGGGAUCUUUGCAUGUGAGAAUAGCCCUGAGGACUACACAUAGAUAUACCAGAAGCUAUGCUCUCCUUAGAAGUAGUAAGAGCCCCACUGGAAAAUAUCUUUCAAAUCUUACGAAUGAACAAGUCUUUGAGAAUUGAUAUCCUGCAGGCAAGCAAGAUACAGAAGUCUGCUGGAGACUUUCACCUGCAGACAAGUACACAGAGCUAUGCAAGUGGAAGGAAUGCUCACGGGAAGAAUAUCAGAAUUUGCUGUACCUUUUAAAAAAAUCAUUUACAUGUGCAGCUAUUUUAUUUAAAUCUCAACCAUACUAACUA